CAAUAAGCGGAGGAAAAGAAACCAACAGCGGAUUGCCUCAGUAACGGCGAGUGAAGCGGCAAAAGCUCAAAUUUGAAAUCCCCCGGGAAUUGUAAUUUGAAGGUGGCACUCAGUUAGUCCAAAACAUUCUUAAGUCCAUUGGAAAAUGGCAGCCAUGGAGGGUGAUAGCCCCGUAAAGAUGUCGUUUGUUCUAUUUUCUCUGGCCACCAAAGAGUCGAGUUGUUUGGGAAUGCAGCUCUAAGUGGGUGGUAAAUUCCAUCUAAAGCUAAAUAUUGGCGAGAGACCGAUAGCGAACAAGUACAGUGAUGGAAAGAUGAAAAGCACUUUGAAAAGAGAGUGAAAAAGUACGUGAAAUUGUUGAAAGGGAAGGGCUUGCAAGCAGACACAACCUCGUGUUGGGCCAGCAUCGGGGCGAGAGGAAGUAAAAACGAUUUGGAAAUGUAACUUUCGAGUAUUAUAGACCUUAUCCCUCCCUGUCCAUCUCAUCCCGAGGCCUGCGGUUAUAUCCUAGGAUGCUGGCGUAAUGGUUGCAAGUCGCCCGUCUUGAAA
rnacentral:rRNA from 1 species